GAUGAACGCUGGCGGCGUGCCUAAUACAUGCCAGUCGAGCGAACAGAUAAGGAGCUUGCUCCUUUGACGUUAGCGGCGGACGGGUGAGUAACACGUGGAUAACCUACCUAUAAGACUGGGAUAACUUCGGGAAACCGGAGCUAAUACCGGAUAACAUAUUGAACCGCAUGGUUCAAUAGUGAAAGGCGGCUUUGCUGUCACUUAUAGAUGGAUCCGCGCCGUAUUAGCUAGUUGGUAAGGUAACGGCUUACCAAGGCAACGAUACGUAGCCGACCUGAGAGGGUGAUCGGCCACACUGGAACUGAGACACGGUCCAGACUCCUACGGGAGGCAGCCGUAGGGAAUCUUCCGCAAUGGGCGAAAGCCUGACGGAGCAACGCCGCGUGAGUGAUGAAGGUCUUCGGAUCGUAAAACUCUGUUAUCAGGGAAGAACAAAUGUGUAAGUAACUGUGCACAUCUUGACGGUACCUGAUCAGAAAGCCACGGCUAACUACGUG
rnacentral:rRNA from 1 species